AAAACAAAUACGAAGGGUGCAAGCGUUAAUCGGAAUUACUGGGCGUAAAGCGCGCGUAGGUGGUUUGUUAAGUUGAAUGCGAAAGCCCAUGGCUCAACCAUGGACGUGCAUUUGAAACUGGCAGACUUGAGUAUUGGAGGGGGUGGUGGAAUUCCCGGUGUAGAGGUGAAAUUCGUAGAUAUCGGGAGGAAUACCAGUGGCGAAGGCGACCACCUGGCCAAAUACUGACGCUGAGGUGCGAAAGCGUGGGGAGCAAACAGG
rnacentral:rRNA from 1 species